rnacentral:rRNA from 1 species
UCGAGCUGUCGCCAAAAGAUGGGCCCGCGUCGCAUUAGCUAGUUGGUGGGAUAAAAGCUCACCAAGGCAACGAUGCGUAGCCGACCUGAGAGGGUGAUCGGCCACACUGGGACUGAGACACGGCCCAGACUCCUACGGGAGGCAGCAGUAGGGAAUCUUCCGCAAUGGACGAAAGUCUGACGGAGCGACGCCGCGUGAGUGAUGAAGGUCUUCGGAUCGUAAAACUCUGUUGUGAGGGAAGAACAAGGGUGAACCGAAUACGUUCACCCCUUGACGGUACCUCACCAGAAAGCCCCGGCUAACUACGUGCCAGCAGCCGCGGUAAUACGUAGGGGGCGAGCGUUGUCCGGAAUUAUUGGGCGUAAAGGGCGCGCAGGCGGCCUUCUAAGUCUGAUGUGAAAUCUCGUGGCUCAACCACGAACGGUCAUUGGAAACUGGGAGGCUUGAGUACAGAAGAGGAGAGUGGAAUUCCACGUGUAGCGGUGAAAUGCGCAGAGAUGUGGAGGAACACCAGUGGCGAAGGCGACUCUCUGGUCUGUAACUGACGCUGAGGCGCAAAAGCGUGGGUAGCAAACAGGAUUAGAUACCCUGGUAGUCCACGCCGUAAACGAUGAGUGCUAGGUGUUAAGGGGUUUCCGCCCCUUAGUGCUGCAG